rnacentral:rRNA from 1 species
UGGGGAAUAUUGGACAAUGGGCGAAAGCCUGAUCCAGCCAUGCCGCGUGUGUGAAGAAGGUCUUCGGAUUGUAAAGCACUUUAAGUUGGGAGGAAGGGCAGUAAGCGAAUACCUUGCUGUAUUGACGUUACCGACAGAAUAAGCACCGGCUAACUCUGUGCCAGCAGCCGCGGUAAUACGGAGGGUGCAAGCGUUAAUCGGAAUUACUGGGCGUAAAGCGCGCGUAGGUGGUUCUGUAAGUUGAAUGUGAAAGCCCCGGGCUCAACCUGGGAACUGCAUUCAAAACUGGCGAGCUAGAGUAGUUCAGAGGGAGGUGGAAUUUCCUGUGUAGCGGUGAAAUGCGUAGAUAUAGGAGGGAACACCGGUGGCGAAGGCGACCACCUGGGCUCAUACUGACACUGAUGUGCGAAAGCGUGGGGAGCAAACAGG